UACGAAGGGGGCUAGCGUUGCUCGGAAUCACUGGGCGUAAAGCGCACGUAGGCGGAUUGUUAAGUCAGGGGUGAAAUCCUGGAGCUCAACUCCAGAACUGCCUUUGAUACUGGCGAUCUCGAGUCCGGGAGAGGUGAGUGGAACUGCGAGUGUAGAGGUGAAAUUCGUAGAUAUUCGCAAGAACACCAGUGGCGAAGGCGGCUCACUGGCCCGGUACGGACGCUGAGGUGCGAAAGCGUGGGGAGCAAACAGG
rnacentral:rRNA from 1 species